rnacentral:rRNA from 1 species
UACAGAGGUGGCAAGCGUUGUUCGGAAUUACUGGGCGUAAAGGGCGCGUAGGCGGCCUUCUAAGUCAGACGUGAAAUCCCCCGGCUUAACCUGGGAACUGCGUCUGAUACUGGAAGGCUUGAGUGCGGGAGAGGGAUGUGGAAUUCCAGGUGCAGCGGUGAAAUGCGUAGAUAUCUGGAGGAACACCGGUGGCGAAGGCGGCAUCCUGGACCGACACUGACGCUGAGGCGCGAAAGCUAGGGUAGCAAACGGG